AUAGAUAGAGGUGCAUUUUUCAUCAGUAACUUUUCUGAUGCCGCAAAGGGCAGUUGACGGAAGUGAAAGGGGAACGUGCCGAAGAUAAAGUUUUCUUUGCUACGCUUUAUCUGGUUGCAUCGGUAAAAAGCCCUGUGACUGUCAUCGUUUGAUGGAGUGCUAUCUG
rnacentral:ncRNA from 2 species